rnacentral:rRNA from 1 species
ACACGCAUGACACACUGCAUAUCAAUAAGCGGAGGAAAAGAAACUAACAAGGAUUCCCCUAGUAACGGCGAGUGAAGCGGGAAGAGCUCAAAUUUGAAAUCUUCAAGGGUUUCCCUUGACGAAUUGUAGUUUAAAGAAGUGUUUUCUGUUAGAGAGGAGGUAAAAGUUCUUUGGAAUAGGACAUCAUAGAGGGUGAGAAUCCCGUAUUUGAACACUUUCUACUAACGUUGUGAUACACUUUCAAAGAGUCGGAUUGUUUGGGAAUGCAGUCCAAAAUGGGUGGUAAAUUUCAUCUAAAGCUAAAUAUUGGCGAGAGACCGAUAGCGAACAAGUACCGUGAGGGAAAGAUGAAAAGAACUUUGAAAAGAGAGUUAAACAGUACGUGAAAUUGUCAAAAGGGAAGCGUUUGACACCAGUGUUGUUUUUUCCGAAAAUCAAUUAUGAAUGGCUUGAUUUUAAGUUUCAUGACCUUAAAAGCUUGUUUCUUAUUUUUCAUGUCUUUCGUAAUGCACUUUUCGGUUAACAAGUCAACAUCAAUUUCUUUUGUUGUAAAAGGUUAAGAGGAAGGUGGCUUUACUUUCGGGUAAAGUGUUUAUAGCCUUUUAACUCUGCAAUCGGAGAGAUUGAGGUCUGCAGCGUAGAUCCUUCGGGGUUAGAUACAUUUGUGCUAAGUUAUAGCUUUUCAUAGACAACUUGUUGACUAUGUUAAGUCUUGUAAUUUACUCGCAGAUGCUAUUUUACCUACGCUUAGGAUGUUGACGCAUGAGAUAUACGC